GCCAGGAGCAAAGCACGAGUUAACGCCACGGGGCUGAGGCUGAGCUGCAAACUUUCACAGCUUCAGAGCGUGGCUGCAGCGCGUGCUGGC
ensembl:miRNA gga-mir-1666 gga-mir-1666